rnacentral:rRNA from 2 species
GGUUAAGCGACUAAGCGUACACGGUGGAUGCCCUGGCAGUCAGAGGCGAUGAAGGACGUGCUAAUCUGCGAAAAGCGUCGGUAAGGUGAUAUGAACCGUUAUAACCGGCGAUGUCCGAAUGGGGAAACCCAGUGCAAUUCGUUGCACUAUCGUUAACUGAAUACAUAGGUUAACGAGGCGAACCGGGGGAACUGAAACAUCUAAGUACCCCGAGGAAAAGAAAUCAACCGAGAUUCCCCCAGUAGCGGCGAGCGAACGGGGAGCAGCCCAGAGUCUGAAUCAGCUUGUGUGUUAGUGGAACGGUCUGGAAAGUCCGACGGUACAGGGUGAUAGUCCCGUACACCAAAAUGCACAGGCUGUGAACUCGAAGAGUAGGGCGGGACACGUGGUAUCCUGUCUGAAUAUGGGGGGACCAUCCUCCAAGGCUAAAUACUCCUGACUGACCGAUAGUGAACCAGUACCGUGAGGGAAAGGCGAAAAGAACCCCGGCGAGGGGAGUGAAAAAGAACCUGAAACCGUGUACGUACAAGCAGUGGGAGCACCUUCGGGUGUGACUGCGUACCUUUUGUAUAAUGGGUCAGCGACUUAUAUUCUGUAGCAAGGUUAACCGUAUAGGGGAGCCGCAGGGAAACCGAGUCUUAACUGGGCGUUAAGUUGCAGGGUAUAGACCCGAAACCCGGUGAUCUAGCCAUGGGCAGGUUGAAGGUUGGGUAACACUAACUGGAGGACCGAACCGACUAAUGUUGAAAAAUUAGCGGAUGACUUGUGGCUGGGGGUGAAAGGCCAAUCAAACCGGGAGAUAGCUGGUUCUCCCCGAAAGCUAUUUAGGUAGCGCCUCGUGAACUCAUCUUCGGGGGUAGAGCACUGUUUCGGCUAGGGGGUCAUCCCGACUUACCAACCCGAUGCAAACUACGAAUACCGAAGAAUGUUAUCACGGGAGACACACGGCGGGUGCUAACGUCCGUCGUGAAGAGGGAAACAACCCAGACCGCCAGCUAAGGUCCCAAAGUCAUGGUUAAGUGGGAAACGAUGUGGGAAGGCACAGACAGCCAGGAUGUUGGCUUAGAAGCAGCCAUCAUUUAAAGAAAGCGUAAUAGCUCACUGGUCGAGUCGGCCUGCGCGGAAGAUGUAACGGGGCUAAACCAUGCACCGAAGCUGCGGCAGCGACACGAUGUGUUGUUGGGUAGGGGAGCGUUCUGUAAGCCUGCGAAGGUGACCUGUGAGGGUUGCUGGAGGUAUCAGAAGUGCGAAUGCUGACAUAAGUAACGAUAAAGCGGGUGAAAAGCCCGCUCGCCGGAAGACCAAGGGUUCCUGUCCAACGUUAAUCGGGGCAGGGUGAGUCGACCCCUAAGGCGAGGCCGAAAGGCGUAGUCGAUGGGAAACAGGUUAAUAUUCCUGUACUUGGUGUUACUGCGAAGGGGGGACGGAGAAGGCUAUGUUAGCCGGGCGACGGUUGUCCCGGUUUAAGCAUGUAGGCUGGUUAUCCAGGCAAAUCCGGAUAAUCAAGGCUGAGGUGUGAUGACGAGGCACUACGGUGCUGAAGUAACAAAUGCCCUGCUUCCAGGAAAAGCCUCUAAGCAUCAGGUAACAUCAAAUCGUACCCCAAACCGACACAGGUGGUCAGGUAGAGAAUACCAAGGCGCUUGAGAGAACUCGGGUGAAGGAACUAGGCAAAAUGGUGCCGUAACUUCGGGAGAAGGCACGCUGGUGUGUAGGUGAAGUCCCUGCGGAUGGAGCUGAGACCAGUCGAAGAUACCAGCUGGCUGCAACUGUUUAUUAAAAACACAGCACUGUGCAAACACGAAAGUGGACGUAUACGGUGUGACGCCUGCCCGGUGCCGGAAGGUUAAUUGAUGGGGUUAUCCGUAAGGAGAAGCUCUUGAUCGAAGCCCCGGUAAACGGCGGCCGUAACUAUAACGGUCCUAAGGUAGCGAAAUUCCUUGUCGGGUAAGUUCCGACCUGCACGAAUGGCGUAAUGAUGGCCAGGCUGUCUCCACCCGAGACUCAGUGAAAUUGAACUCGCUGUGAAGAUGCAGUGUACCCGCGGCAAGACGGAAAGACCCCGUGAACCUUUACUAUAGCUUGACACUGAACAUUGAGCCUUGAUGUGUAGGAUAGGUGGGAGGCUUUGAAGCGUGGACGCCAGUCUGCGUGGAGCCAACCUUGAAAUACCACCCUUUAAUGUUUGAUGUUCUAACGUGGGCCCCUAAUCGGGGUUGCGGACAGUGUCUGGUGGGUAGUUUGACUGGGGCGGUCUCCUCCCAAAGCGUAACGGAGGAGCACGAAGGUUAGCUAAUCCUGGUCGGACAUCAGGAGGUUAGUGCAAUGGCAUAAGCUAGCUUGACUGCGAGCGUGACGGCGCGAGCAGGUGCGAAAGCAGGUCAUAGUGAUCCGGUGGUUCUGAAUGGAAGGGCCAUCGCUCAACGGAUAAAAGGUACUCCGGGGAUAACAGGCUGAUACCGCCCAAGAGUUCAUAUCGACGGCGGUGUUUGGCACCUCGAUGUCGGCUCAUCACAUCCUGGGGCUGAAGUAGGUCCCAAGGGUAUGGCUGUUCGCCAUUUAAAGUGGUACGCGAGCUGGGUUUAGAACGUCGUGAGACAGUUCGGUCCCUAUCUGCCGUGGGCGCUGGAGAAUUGAGGGGGGCUGCUCCUAGUACGAGAGGACCGGAGUGGACGCAUCACUGGUGUUCGGGUUGUCAUGCCAAUGGCACUGCCCGGUAGCUAAAUGCGGAAGAGAUAAGUGCUGAAAGCAUCUAAGCACGAAACUUGCCCCGAGAUGAGUUCUCCCUGAGACUUUAAGUCUCCUGAAGGAACGUUGAAGACGACGACGUUGAUAGGCCGGGUGUGUAAGCGCAGCGAUGCGUUGAGCUAACCGGUACUAAUGAACCGUGAGGCUUAACCUU